GAUGAACGCUGGCGGCGUGCCUAAUACAUGCAAGUCGAGCGGACGGACGAGGAGCUUGCUGCGCUGAUGUUAGCCGCAGGCGUGUGAAUAACACGUGGAUACCCUACCUGUCAUACUGGUAUAACUUCGAGACACCGGAGCUAAUACCGUAUGAUAUUUUGAACCACAUGGUUCAAAAGUGAGAUUCGGUGUUGCGGGCACGUAUCGCGGCAUCCGAGCUGCUUGAGCUAGUUGUUGAGGUAACGGCUUUCCAAGGCAACGAUGCAUAGCCGACCGGAGAGGGUGGUAGGCCACACGGGAACUUAGCCACGGUCAAGACUACUACGGGAGGGAGCAGUAGCGAAUCUGCCGCAAUGGUCGAAAGCAUGACGCAGCAAGGCCGAGUGAGAGACGAAGGUCUUCGGAGCGUAAUACCCUGUUACUAGGGAAGAACAUAUUUGUCAGUAACCGUGGAGAUAGUGACGGUACCGAGUAAGAAAGCAACGGCUAACUACGUG
rnacentral:rRNA from 1 species